AUGCACAACACACACACACACACACACACACACACACACGCACGCACGCACGCACGCACGCAUGCACUUCCACAAAGCACCAAUAAUCAAAGAACUGAGGAGAUACGAGAUUAAAGGGACAGAAGAGUAAAGCAAACAUGGACCUGCUGAGGUGCAGACCCGAUGUCCAUGGUACUCCAACAGCCUCAGUAAUGCCCAGCACAGCCUCAAUGAUAGCAGAAACAACAGCACCCGCAGCACCCGGUGGAUAGGACGCUGAUGCUCACCUCUGCCCUUGAAAAGCCUCUGUGUGACGACCAUCCACGAGGAAGAGUUUAGGGUCAUGCAGCCAUCUGGGCAUUGAAAGAUACACUGUUCUGAGGCUCACACAGCAGAGCCACUGAAAACUGGAAACAUCAAGUGGGGAUGAUGUUUAUCUUCUGCUCCCGCAAAAGGAGAGAACUGACCCCUGAAAGUUGUUCCUCCACCUCUGCACCAUUGUGUUCGGUGCCCCCCAAAACAAAUCAACAAAUAAAUACAUAGAAGAAAAAAAAUUAAAUACGAAAGUAUGCUCGUCUUUUCGAUGACUCUGACAGAAGAAAAUCAAAGUGUUCUAUUUGCAUACUCAGAGCUCUUCCGAGUCGCUGAGCCCCUUGCGGACGCUCCUCGCAGUCUUCUGUGGUGGAGCUUUCUUCUGCAGACCCUGACCUACCAAGUGGGAACUUAGCCAAUAACUCAGAAGAAAUGGAACAGCCCGAGUGCAUCUGGUGAAGCGCCUGAGACAAAAGUAACAAAACUGUGUCCACGCUGAAACAAAAAGUAACAAAACCAUGUUCACACCCUGGGACCUACACUCCCAUCACCCUUGAUGACAGAAGAUGAAGGAAAUAAAAAAACACAGAGGAAAGUGAGCAGGGUUCUAUCAGGUGAGGCAUCUGGAUGGACAGACAGCACACAGGAGUGGCAGUGCCUGUGCAGAGCAGGAAGCCGAGCUGUGCUGUGGGAAGAAGGGGAUGGUGGGGAUGGAUGCGCAGCUAUUGAGCCAGUCUUUAGUCCACACUCAGGACGAUCCCAAAGCUGUUGUUUGUACUCUGCCAGCUUUAAGAGGGUAUGGGCUGGGAAGAUGGAUCAGCCGCUAAAGGACUGCUCAGUCAACCGGGCUGGAGGUGGAAUCCCAGCACCCAUGUGGAGUGGCUCAUAGCUCAAGCUCUGGGGUGUAUCUAAAGUCAGCUAUAGUGUACGCAUAUAAAUAAUAAUAAAUA
rnacentral:lncRNA from 1 species